UGAGCUUUGUGUAUUGUAGAAACUCAAUUAUCUAGCCUGGCCCAGAGGAGGAGUUUUGUGUUGCAUAAAUUGUGAGUUCUGUGUGCCAGUAAAUCAGUCUUGUUCCAGCAUUAAGCCUUGGCUCAUGUUUGGGGGAAGGGAUACCUACACUCUGGGGAUUGCUAUAAUCACUUACUCCCCAGAGGAAGCUCUUGCAAUAGCUUGAUUUGUUCCUGUUCCUGCUCUCUGGGGAAAGAGAGGUUCACCCACUGGAAGCUGGAUCCUGGCCUUGGGUCCAGGGUGGGUGGAAAC
rnacentral:lncRNA from 1 species